UAGCAAGGUUAACCGCAUAGGGGAGCCGGAGGGAAACCGAGUCUUAAUUGGGCGUUAAGUUGCAGGGUAUAGACCCGAAACCCGGUGAUCUAGCCAUGGGCAGGUUGAAGGUUGGGUAACACUAACUGGAGGACCGAACCGACUAAUGUUGAAAAAUUAGCGGAUGACCUGUGGCUGGGGGUGAAAGGCCAAUCAAACCGGGAGAUAGCUGGUUCUCCCCGAAAGCUAUUUAGGUAGCGCCUCGUGAAUUCAUCUCCGGGGGUAGAGCACUGUUUCGGCCAGGGGGCCAUCCCGGCUUACCAAUCCGAUGCAAACUGCGAAUACCGGAGAAUGUUAUCACGGGAGACACACGGCGGGUGCUAACGUCCGUCGUGAAGAGGGAAACAACCCAGACCGCCAGCUAAGGUCCCAAAGUCAUGGUUAAGUGGGAAACGAUGUGGGAAGGCCCAGACAGCCAGGAUGUUGGCUUAGAAGCAGCCAUCAUUUAAAGAAAGCGUAAUAGCUCACUGGUCGAGUCGGCCUGCGCGGAAGAUGUAACGGGGCUAAACCAU
rnacentral:rRNA from 1 species